AUAAGUGUAAUUGAUUGACUGACUACAUAUAGUUGAGAAGAAAAUUUAGACACAAACCUUAGCAAGUUUCAUUUUUAGCCAGUAACUAGACAGUUUGAUGGUUGAUUGUCGUUUUUUCUUAGUCCCUUGAUUUUUCCGUAACCCACUUUUGAUGAUUGAAGUAUAACCAAGUCUCAAUUACCUAAUCACUCAAACUCCAUACUUGCCGCUGAAUGGUUUUCAGGUAGUUUAUUUGACAGGACACCUGAGUUCAAAUCUAAGGGGUGGUAGAGGCUAAAAAAUUGAUUUUGGCCUUUGCUCACACUCCUAACUUCUUAAAGAGAAAAGGAAAAAUUUCCAGACUUCUCAUACCAUCACAAGAAACCUUGCCUGUUGAAUCACAUUUGUUUUCAAUAUCUUAUUUUCUUUAUCUCUUGGUUUCGUUGAGAGACUAUUUUGACGAUUUAAGAAUACUCAUUUUCAUUUGAUCUAAUGUUACCUUCACGCAUUGAUUUUCAAAUAUUGAUUUUCAAAUUAUGUUCUUUUGAUGGUUGCAAAAGAAAUUUACCUUCUACUUGAUUAAGCAAUGUGAGUGCGUGCGUGUAUAUAUAUUUGUAUUUUUAUUGCUCUCUAUCUUAUCUGACUGACUUUCAUCUCUAUAUCAUAGGAUUCUGAGGUGCUUUGUAAACAUAAGAAAUGUGGACUUGCAAUUUUGUUCUUUAUCUUGGAGGCUGUAUCAGUUGUACUGGAUAUAUUUGAAAAAAGCAAGGGGGCUUCUCUUGCUGCGUUCCUUUUUUCAGCAUUUGGUUUUGCUAUGACUAUUUAUGUUUGUUUUUUGGAAAGAACUUUCACUGCUAUCAAACCACAAGCUGACAGGCAACUUGGGAUAUUAGAUAUUGCCUUCUCUGUGCUCCAAUUGAUUGCUACAUUGAUUCAUCUUAUUCUUUUAGUUUCUGAUGCGAAGUAUAAUUAUAAUGCAUCUGUUCUUUUUCCACUAGCCUUUGCUAUCAUUGCUGUCCUGUUUGUUUUUAAAGAGAGAGAUACAUCUACUGACUCGUCUCGACAAGAUUUGUCUCCGUCAGCUAAUGAUUCUCUACUUAGUACUCCUUUUGAGCUUUAUCUGAGUGGGAUUACGGUGGAAGGUGACAACUCUGAGAAUAACUUACGCUUGUCUGGACAAGUCCAAGGUGGUGGAUAUUUUUAUCUAUAAAACACAAUUUUAUGACCUUUGCUGGAAUUUAAUAUGACUCAUUGCAAACUCAGAGGGCCCUGGGAUUGAGAAAUUUCGGAUUAUUGGCGAAGCUAAACCUGGAGGGAAACUUCUUGGAUAUCCCGUAAAUGGGACUACUCUCUGUACAUUUCAGGUGAAUUUUUGUGUUAACUUGUAAUAGAAUUGAAAUAUGUUAAGGCACUUUUGUACAUAAUGCAUUAACCUUUUGCAUUUUAACAAUUUAUAUAUUAGUGGAUUCGUUUUCUUGAAGAUGAUACCAGGCACUCUAUUGAGGGUAAGCAUUGAAAUGUGUUUUGACUUCUUGGUACUGUGCUAGUUAAAAGAGUAUUUGACAAGUCAUAGCCUUUUAUUUCAGGAGCCACAGAACCAGAAUAUGUCGUCACAGCUGAUGAUAUUAAUAAACUGAUAGCUCUUGAGCACACGACAAUAGAUGAUGAAGGACACGAGGUACAAAUUUGGAAUAAUGGUUUUUAUGAAUGAUAUCUUUGUUAUUGAAAGUUCAUGUUUCAACAGCUACAACUCAAGACUGUGUAGUUCAAAAUAUGUGUAUACAUAAUUUAAUGAUAUUUAUGUCAUACUCAGCGUUUUUUUUUUGCCUUUUGAGCGUGAACAAGCAAGUAUUUAAGCUACCGCAGGUACUUAGUGUUGAUAGAUUUGAAGGAAUUAAAGGAGAUCUAGAGUUGACUAAUUAAUUCUUUGGAUAUCCUGAAGUUUAGGGAUUGUGUUACUCUGUGCUGAGUUAGGAAAUAACUUUUUGAUAUUCUUUCCCUUUCCUAGAAGCAUAAGUUAGCCUAAGUUUCUGGUGUAAUAACUUUUACAUGUAUUUAUAACAACAAUAUAAUUCAAUUUUUCAGAAUUGUUUCACUCAACAUUUUCCCACUACAAUUAAUUUAUAAAGGUAGUAUUUUAUUUUUGUCAUCAAAAUGAAAUCUACUGACUUCUUAGAGUUCAUUAAGCCGGGUGAGAAGCAGUUGAAUUUACGCAAAAAAUCAGGUCUCAGUUCUUACCUCGUGAUAGUGAAUUUGGUAUAUAAAUAUUCAAAAUUCAUAUGAUUGUAUUCCUGGUCAUAGGGUUUAUUACUGUUUUUUGACAAGAGUAGUUUAAUUAGUCUCAUUUUGUAUUCAUUUCCUCACAUUGUCUACAAUAUUAUUUAUUCCUUGUUAUAUAUGAAGCUUAUUUUUUAAUCAUUCUUCAAUUUAACAAUUUUUUUUUCAAGAGACAUAAGUUGCAUCUGUUGGUUUUAGUGCCGUCCUGAUUAUUUCUGUUAUGGCAUUUGAUGUUAUCAGGGAAAAUUGGUCACUGUUUUCGCAAAUGAACAUUCCAAAAUCAAGUGUGGUAAGUGGAUAUGAUUUUAGAUUGAUGGUUGUCAAACCUAAAUAUAUUUAAAGUUAUGUUUGUAAUAUUUAUGACUCAAUAUUAUCAUGUUCUCCAUGUGUGGAGUGGAGUUCUGUUUCCAGGAUGAAGCAUCAAGCUCAUGCUCAAGUCCUAAGCUUUUUGAAUGUUGGAUCUUUAUGAGCACAUAAUGGCUUCCAUAAAGGAUAAAAAUAAUUAUGUGCCAUAUUUCAUGAAAUUUCUUCUUUAUACAAGUUACUGGUGCUUUCAAUGUUCAAACUGCCCUGACUUUUCACUAGAUAAUUUUUGAGCCUCCACUGAUGUUGUUCUGGGUUGUAGUACUAUGCAGUUGUAUAAUAAUGUCUUUGCACUUCUUCUGACGUUGAAACAAUGCACCACUCAGUAUUGUAGAUAUGCUAAUGAAAUUGUUAAUAUCACAAUUGCAGCUGUAAGAGGUCUUGUUGAAUAAGUUGAUAAACAAUGAUUUAUGAAACUUAUAGAUGUGUAUUUUAUAUUGGUUAAAUUAAGGUUGUGUGCACAUUGUUAUAGCCAUCUGACUGUGGCUUUGAACUGAAAAUGUGAGAGUAGUUUUUGUAGAACGUGAAUUCCCAUCCACCGAAUUAUUUAGAGAGAGAACAGUUGCUUGAGGUGACUUGAAAGACUAACGCUUGAUUUGACACCAGAUAUUGUGUUAGCUGUCACUCACAACUUUUGCAUACUAAAAGAGUUAAUUACAUUUUAGCAUGGCUACAGAGUUGAUUGGUAAUUGUAUGAUAACUUUAUAAUUAGUUUGAAUUUUGCCUCAGAAAUUUUGUUGUUUGUGUAGUUUUCUGAUGUGCUUCUUUGCACGGCUGCAGAUCCGGAUAUGCAGAGCAAGGUUGACAUGCACAUCUCCAGAGGGCAAGCCGCUUUCAGAGUUCUUUUGCUGGUAGGUUUUCUUUUAGCCAUUAAAUGUUACACGAAAAUGUGAAGAGUAUUGGAUAACACAAAUGUUUUGCUACAACUUCAACAGAUUAAUUCUUCUGAGAAUACUUGGGAGCCAGCAACUCUAAGCUUUACACAGUCUAGAUUCCACGUCAAGAUCAAUAGCACAGAUGUUGUGAUAUCUGAAGGGGAUCUUUUUAAUAUAAUUGAGGUAUGGUACCUUACAGUUGAUGCAGUAUCCAUGAAACAACAAGGUUAUCAAUUUUCAUUCUAAAUGCUUCGGUUAUACUGUAAUUCAAAUGGUCAGCUUGUUGAACAAGGUCUGACUACAAAAUUCAUUCUAUUUAUUGUGUUAACAAUUCAUACUAGUAGCUAAGGGUGGGCUAAAAGACUGAACAUCAAACUGAACCGACCAAACCAACUGUUUUUGUACUUCAUCCAGUUUGCUUUAUUUUAUUUUACAAGAACUCAUAAUUAGUUUGAUUCGGUUCAAUACUAGACUGUAUGGACAACUGAGGAUUGCUCAAGAACAGACUGAAAACACAAAAUUAAUCCAAAUCUGUUUCAUUCAGUUUGGUUCAUUAUUUGGAUCAGUCAGAAUUUUCUGAACCAAUUGAUUUUCAGUAAAAAUAAAGCCAAAUCAAAAUCAAAAGCUAGCCCAUAAAUAGGUUGCAUCAAGUUUUGGGCUGGUGUUAUCAUGUGGAAGGUUAAUGUGCACUGUGAGUGAGUUGGCUUUGAUACCAUAUGGACCAUGGAUCUAACUAAUACUCAAAAGAGUUCGUGAGUUGAGUUGCCUCAAGCUCAUAUACUGAGCCCAUGAUUUAUUCUUAGUGUGACAUAAUCAUAAUCUCUCUAAGACAAGCGACAAGGUAUUACGACUGUGAGGAUGUGUAUGGGUAAAGACGAUUAGGCACGAGAUUUCUGCUCUACCUUUUGCUUCACUAAAAUAUUAUUUUUGGAAAUCGUAGGAUCAUGUGAAAAGGAUUUGAUUUUGCUUUCAACAAAAUGUUCAAUUAUCUAUGUGUAAGACUUCACAUAUUUUUUCCAUCUUAUUGAUAUUGCAGAUCGAAAUUCCUAUUGGGCUCUCAAGACAAUUUAUUUUAAGACGCUUGGAUGGUGAAUCCCAUUAUUAUAUCACAAAUAAUGACCGGUAAUAUAUUACUUGCAUACAUUUUAUGUUUGCAUGGAUUGAUUGGAUAGCCUUGAUUUAAUUUCUAAUAAAUAAUUAUUACAAAUUUUUUAUGGUGAAGCUUUUAAUAGAGUAGACUUCAUUGUCAAUUGUUUACACCCAUAGUUUGGCAUACCUAGCUACUGGUUAAAAACAUGAGAGAGAAAGGACCAACUGUUGCCACUUCCACUAAAGGCUAGAAAAGCAGAGAUGAGGUUGAAAUUGAAUUUGAGUCCUCAUUAUGAUGUUUAUCAUUCUCUAUUGUGCUAUUGAUGCUAAAUUACAAUUGUUUAUUUUGAAAGAAAAUAAUUGGAGAAAGACAAAAGAAGCUAGAACAGAGCAAAGGGUUUUCCUUAGACCAUUUAUUAUGCCUUGCAGAGUUUUCUACUUUCUUUCACCAUAAAAUUAUGCAUGUGGGACUUCAUUUUUUUGUAAACUCUGAUCGUGGCUUUCUUCGCAAGAUUCUGAAGAUCAGUAUUUAUCUGGUGUUUAUUUACUAAUUAAUGUCAUGCUUCUAAUGUGAUGCAUUUGUUUUAUUUUUUUUUUCCUUGGUAGAAUGCGGGAUACUCUUGUGCUAACCAUGAGAACGUUCCGAAGAAUGGUACAUUCUUUCAUAAUAAUGUGUAGUUAGCAAUGUCCCAAACUUUCUUCUUGUUUGGUCUCUGUUUUAAUCUUUCUGCUCAUAAUUUAAAGGAUCUACUUCCUGCAUAAAAUUACAAUAUAAAAUUUUUUUAAAAAAAUAUACAUGACAAUAAAAAUUCAAGUUAAAGAAGUACAAAAAUUCACAACAAUAAAUUACAACAAAUUUGGAAAAAGAGAUUGAUAGCUUUUUGUCAGGUUAAUGUUUGUUUAAAGACAUUUUUCUAAAUGGUUUAAUUUCAGGUAUUGCCACCCACUGUAGCAGCAUUCAUUCCAACUGAUACAGAGCUAGUUACUUAUCAUCUAAUGAACAAGGUGUCUGCUCGUAGUUAUGGAGAACUUGAUCGAUUUAUCAAAGACAUAGAACUUUAUGAUUAUGAACCUUCAGAGCUCUCAAGUUUAGCGUACCACUCUGGUCACGACAAGAAGUACUUCUUCACACGUUUAAGCCAACCUGCAAGGACUGUUAAUAGACAAGCUCAGGGGGGAUAUUGGAGGAAAACGGGAAUGCCAUCUUACGUCAACGACAAAGAUGGAGAUGCAGUCGCUACAAAGACUUCACUGACUUACUUUAAGAAGCAGGAUCCAACAUCAAAGCCAGAGAAGACUCAUUGGCUCAUGAAGGAAUACAUGCUUCUCAAGAGUCAACAACCAAAUCAGAACGAUGAAACUCCAUGGACCCUCUGUGUUCUCUACGAUUUCCAAAGAAAAAGAAGAGAGGGGCCUUUUAAAAGAACAGAGAAAAACCUCUGGCGCCGAAACAACUGUUAAUAGACAAGCUCAAAUAGCUGCAACUGAUCAGCUUCCAUGUAAUGCAAAUGGCUUGGGUUGAACAAGGAGACUCUGAUUGCGGUGAAAGAAAAAAAAAAUUCCAGGGUUACGCUAUAGAUAUAAAGUUUAUAUCUCGACUUAUGUAUCACAUAAAUUAGCUUUAUUGAUUCCUUGUCUUUCCAUCUUAUUGUCGCAUGUCGAAUUUUAUGAGAUUCAGCAUUUAGUGUAUUAGUACAUAAAAAAUUUAUCCCCCAAUUUUGUAAGUGUAACAGAACUCAGCAUAUGAAGUAGUUUGCCAUUGUUAAUCUCACCACUGUGUUUAUUCUUAGCGUAAAUUUUGGAUCGCGUCUCUGGCGAAUUGACUGUUUUUAAAAUUUUUUGUUUUACUUUUCAAAAACUUCAGUCUACUUCAUUAUUUGGUCAAAAGAUAAAAAGGUUGGUUGAUGAAUUUCUUUGGUCUUUUCAGCAAUAAUAAGGGGUAAAUUAAGAGAGGUGUUUGAAAAUAAACAGUCCACGAGGAGAGAAAUUUGAAAUUAACCCUUAUUCCUGUUAUAUUGGAGACAAUAUGCUUAUUACUCCAAAGACUCACCUUAAGUUAAAUAUGCAUAAAUAUGAAGGACUUAAGUGAAAAUAUAUCGAUAAUGUUUCCCGCGAGCGUGGACCGAAUUUAAAAGCGAGUUUUUUGAUGUUUUGUCCUUGUUUUUAUGAUUAGACAGGCAAGACAGCCAUUUUCGUCUAUCUUAUUAAUCUCUAAUUACUGAGAAUUUUCCUUCGACAUUCUCGUGCAACGACUGCAUGGAGGAAACCAUUUUUCUUCUAAUCAUUUUCCCUGUCAUUCAAUGUCUUUGAAUUACGACACGGUUGAAAAUUAAGAAAAUGGACAUUGAAGGAAAGACAUUGCCUCGCCGUUCUAGAAGAUCAACCUUGAGCAAGGUAACUUCAUUUACUCUCCCACUUUUAUUUUUUGUUCAUAAAUUUUAAUUCCCAACUUUCUGUUGUUUAUGUUUUUGAGCAAUUUGUAGAUACACUGCGUUGGUUAUGUACUUGAAUUCAACUGCAUUUGACAUUGGCGCCGGAAAUAAACAAUUUCAGAAAUUAGAUGCAAAAUUCAGCAAGUAAUGAGAUAUCUUGAUGGGCUUGAUUGAUGAUUUAAUAUUGCUUCGUUUCUUUUAUCUUAGUUUUGGAAAGAUUUGACACUUAACUUGAUAAAGAAAGUGAGAGUAUGUUUUAUGAGCCCCUGUCUUUGUUCUUUACUACUUCAUAUGUUGACAUUUAGAGAUCCCAACCAUAAAUUCACAAAAUGUAAUGCAAAAACGUCAACUUGUUUCGUUAUUCAAAGUUUUGCUUCAACUUUAACAGCUAGAUUCAUCAGAGAAUUGAGAGCACAGAAGCUGUAAUUGAAGAGGAAUUUUCAAAGGAGUUGUCGGUAUGCUACUUGCAUUUUGAUUCAGUCUGUGGACGGCGAAAUUUUUUAUUUUCAUUUUGAAUGCAAUGUUUAUAUGGUAACUCAAGUCAGACCACCCGUUGAACAAGAACUGCCCGACAAGCAUAUUGUAAUCAUUGCAUUCAAAGAAUUCAAGAUUAAUGUGAAGAAAUGAACUCAGUAAAUCAGUUAAUUACCUUUAAUCAAUAGCUUUUCCGCAUAGGAAUCAGUACUAUAUUGAUAUCAUUGUCCAGUUUCUAAACAUAAAAGAUACUAGAUAUCAUUACUUGAUGCUUGCUCUUUGACAAAUUCUAUACUGGCAACAGAUCUUGAAAGAUGUGCAUGGUUUGAAGAAGAUGAUUAACCAUGAGGUUCCGGACUGGACAUUUUUUUUCUCAGUUUGAAAUAGGAUAUAUUUUCAGGAACUUGUUUUAGGAUAACACAAAAAGAGGGGGGGGAAAGGGUUUGAUUUUUCUAUACAGCAAAAAAAUUCAUCACUUACAUGUAAACAUUUCAUAUGAUUUUUUUUUAUCUUAUUGAUAUUGCAGAUCAAAGUUCCUUUUGGGCUCUCAACGCAAUUUGUUUUAACAUGCUCUGAUGGUUCUUCACAUCCUUUCAGUACAUACAAUGUUCGGUAAUAUACAUUACUUUAAACAAUUGAAUUUUGAAUUGAUUUCGAUACCCUUGAUUUUUUUCCCCGAAUAAAUCAUCAUUGCUUUACUUCAUCAUCCAUUGUUUUUAUCCAUGGUUUGCCUAUCUAGGAAAAGGUUACAAACAGUCAAAAUAACACAUACAGGACCUGUUUUCGAUUGGCAUUUGGCGGUAAAUAAGCAGGGUUCAAAUUCAAAGUGUAGUUACAUACACUCAAUUAAUUUUGGGGCCUUAGGCGAAUUGUUUUAAUUAGACUUUUUAAAAUAUUUGAGGUUAAAUAUAUGUAUUAGUUUCACUAAAAAGUUAUUUAUUUAAAAUCAAUUUUUCUAACUUUCUUAGGUGCAAAAUUAUUGAUCAAAUUUUUAUAUUCUAAUUUCGCUAAUAUAUUUUUCUCAAUAUAGCUAAAUCAUUUAACUUUUCUUUCGACUUAGUUGAUCUUAAAUAAGUUUUUAUCAAAUUUAAUUUUGAAAAAAUUCUUCAAUUACUAAUUCUUCAUUCUAAUUCACAUCCUUUUUACUACUUUUGACAAACUUAUCAAGAUCUCCUUUUUGGGAUCGAACUAACUUUUUUAUUCUUCUCUUUUUUUUCCCCUAGUUUUUUGUAUCUUGGUGCACAUUUUCUAUUAGACAUUUUUUUUUCUUUUUUAGUGAAAGAAGAGUAAACAAGCAAACAAUUAUGCUAGAUAAUUAAAAAAAUAACUAUAAUAUUUAAAAAAGAAACAACAACAAUUGAAUAACACAACUAAUUAAGAAGAGAAUAGGAAGAAAAAACAUGGAUAUUUGAAAUUUAACUUUGAUGGAUUGAAAUUUUAAACAACAAUGAUCAAUGGAAAUAGUUGAUUUUUUUUUUCUUAAGCAAAAAUUAAAGAAAGCUUUUUUUUCCAUUAUGCAUUAAAGCAUUGAAUGUGUCGUGCCUUUUUUCUUUUAAUUGAUAAAAAUAAUAAUGGAUAACAAGUUAACAAAUGUGUGACUUUUAUAGAGUUUUAAAUGAAAUAACAUUAAAUAGCGAUUUUGUAAGAAUUUGAUAAUUUAUUUGAGUAAAGAUUAUUAUAGAAUAAUAAUAAUAAUAAAUAUAAAUGAAUAAUUCAAUAGCUAUGAUGUUGGAGAAAAAUUUGGGGCUUUCGUAUACAAUGGAACUCUAGACAACUGUUUAAGUUGCCUAGAGGAAGAGCCGCCCCUGGUUACAUACAUUAUAUGAUUUUCGAAUUUGUUUGUGCUAUUCAUAAGAUGCAUAAAUUCAUUUUCUGCUUAGUUCCAAUUUCUUAUGCCGUACCAAGUUUCAACUUUAUUUCCUCUUUCUCUACAAGACUAUACAGUGAAAAACAUCAUUCUUAUAUAAAAUUUUAUCGCGGCUCUCUUUGCAGAAUUGUGAGGAUACAAUUCUUUGGUGCAUUGAUUAAUCUUCUAGUUUCUUUCUUGAGGCACUUGAUAUGUUUUAUUUUCUUUUCUAUUUUGUAGAAUGCGUGAGACUCUUGUGCUGACAAUGAGAAUGUUCCAAAGCCAGGUAUAGUUUUGUUUCUUUUUUCGCCCCUUAUUUGUUGGUUGAAUCGAUAUGCGUAUGCCGUCUGUUUAUUCUGACCACUGUACCAAACUGGUAUGUUUCUGGAGCAGGCGUUGGAUGACAAAAAAGAAAAAGCAUAGGGACGCUUUUCGUUCAUUCAGAGUACAGAUUUUUAGAGUCACUAUUUUUAUUUUAUUUUUGGUUUCAAUGGGGCUCUUUAGAGUCACUAUUCAUUCAUGGUAGAAUCUAAAAACGGAAGAUAAUAGAAUAGCAGCAAGGCUUUGUACCAUAGUUUAAAUUUGAUAAGGGCAUAUCCUAUUACUUUCUACAUUUUAUUGUAAUAUUACUAAAUCACAAAUAUUCUUACUUAGUAGAUAGCGCAUGAAUGAUCAAAAUGCUGUUGUUAAAUUCUACAUGUAUUGUCGCAUUAAGAAAUGAUCAAUAAAUUUUGCUUCUAGUAUUGUAUUUCACAUUUAUGAAUCAUAUAGUUUUUUUUUAAUAAGAUUUAUCGAUAGAUUAUCAAAUUAUUUAGGAUUUAAAUGCAGAGAUCACAGUUAAGAUCCCUGCAUUACUCUAAACUAAAAUUAUCAAUAAUAUGAAAUGCUCAAACCUAAUCAUAAUGAUACCAAAAUUUCAAGUAUAUAAAGGCUUUACAAAAAGAAAUCUAUGAUAAACAAUAAUAAUGAGUUUUUGCCAAUUUUUCCAAUGGACUUAUCUGAAGUUCAAUAAAUAUAAAUACUAAGGGUCUGAGCGAUAACAUGUCUCUUAUCGCGAAACGUUUCGUGGGAUUUUUUUUUCCCCCCCUAAAUUGUUUGCGGUUAAAGCUUGAGACUCAUUGACUGAGUGGGGACUGAGGAAAUUGCUCUGAACUUGCCAACGACUUGCUUUGAAAAUUGAAACGACACGAUGCAAGAAACCAUUUUUCUUCUUACCAUUUUCUCACAUUCACUAUUUUUGAAUCAAACACACAGUUGAAAGAAAUGGACAUUGAAAGAAGAUUACCUCGCCGCUCUAGGAAAAUCAAUUAUUUGAGUCACUUAUCUUCAAUCUUCAGCAAGGUGACUUCAUUUAUUCACCCUUUUUUCAUUUUAAAUUUCGCAAUCUUCAUACGGGCGAGAUAAAUUUAGUAAUUUAAUUAAUGAUGGAUGUAAUACGGUAGUGUAGAAAUACAAGUCUAACGGUAAGAUGACAGAUGGUUCAUUUUUUUUUUUUAAUACAAAUAGUUCAAAUUUUGAUUGCACAUACUAGAGCAAGAAAGAAAAAAACGAGCAGGGCAAGGUGAAAAAACUCAACCUCAGGAUGGCCCUACAAGAUAAUUUGGUCAAAUUUUUUUUGAAAAUAUUAGGAGCCAAGCCAUAGUUCGUUGUCUUCUACUGAUAGAAGUGGGAACUUUCCUGCAAUUUUAUUCUAAUUUUCUCUCCAAUUUCCUCAAAUUUUAUCUGACUAACAAGGUAUUUGAAAGGAAUGGAGCACACCUCUCUGCUCAGUCAAUAGCAGGGUAACAUAAUUUAUUCACCUAAUUUUAAUUUCUCAGUCUCUGUCAAAAUGACAGAUAUAUGUUGUUGAUCAACUAUAGUAAAUAGAAAUUAAUACCUAAUUAACUUUCUUUUGUUUAUAUUUUAAGCAGUUUUGCAUACAUAGUGUGAUUGAUUGACUGACUACAUAUAGUUGAGAAGAAAAUUUAGACACAAACCUUAGCAAGUUUCAUUUUUAGCCAGUAACUAGACAGUUUGAUGGUUGAUUGUCGUGUUUUCUUAGUCCCUUGAUUUUUCUGUAACCCACUUUUGAUGAUUGAAGAAUAACCAAGUCUCAAUUACCUAAUUACUCAAACUCCAUACUUGCCGCUGAAUGGUUUUCAGGUAGUUUAUUUGACAGGACACCUGAGUUCAAAUCUAAGGGGUGGUAGAGGCUAAAAAAUUGAUUUUGGCCUUUGCUCACACUCCUAACUUCUUAAGGAGAAAAGGAAAAUUUUCCAGACUUCUCAUACCAUCACAAGAAACCUUGCCUGUUG
rnacentral:lncRNA from 1 species